rnacentral:rRNA from 1 species
UACGUAGGGGGCCAGCGUUGUCCGGAUUUACUGGGCGUAAAGAGCGCGUAGGCGGUUCGGUAAGCGGAGGGUGAAAUACCGGGGCUCAACUCCGGUGCUGCUCUCCGAACUGCUGGACUAGAGUACGGGAGAGGGUAGUGGAAUUCCUGGUGUAGCGGUGGAAUGCGUAAAUAUCAGGAGGAACACCCGUGGCGAAGGCUGCUACCUGGAACGUUACUGACGCUGAGGCGCGAAAGCUAGGGGAGCGAACGGG